ACUCCUGCGGGAGGCAGCAGUGAGGAAUAUUGGACAAUGGGUGGAAGCCUGAUCCAGCCAUCCCGCGUGCAGGAAGACGGCCCUAUGGGUUGUAAACUGCUUUUAUCUGGGGAUAAACCUACUUACGUGUAAGUAGCUGAAGGUACCAGAAGAAUAAGCACCGGCUAACUCCGUGCCAGCAGCCGCGGUAAUACGGAGGGUGCAAGCGUUAUCCGGAUUUAUUGGGUUUAAAGGGUCCGUAGGCGGACUGAUAAGUCAGUGGUGAAAUCCGACAGCUUAACUGUCGAACUGCCAUUGAUACUGUUAGUCUUGAGUAAGGUUGAAGUGGCUGGAAUAAGUAGUGUAGCGGUGAAAUGCAUAGAUAUUACUUAGAACACCAAUUGCGAAGGCAGGUCACUAAGUCUUAACUGACGCUGAUGGACGAAAGCGUGGGGAGCGAACAGGAUUAGAAACCCGAGUAGUCCCAUG
rnacentral:rRNA from 1 species